CCUACGGGUGGCAGCAGUGGGGAAUAUUGGGCAAUGGGCGCAAGCCUGACCCAGCAACGCCGCGUGAAGGAAGAAGGCUUUCGGGUUGUAAACUUCUUUUCUCAGGGACGAAGAAAGUGACGGUACCUGAGGAAUAAGUCACGGCUAACUACGUGCCAGCAGUCGCGGUAAUACGUAGGCGGCAAGCGUUAUCCGGAUUUACUGGGUGUAAAGGGCGUGUAGGCGGGACUGCAAGUCAGAUGUGAAAGCCACGGGCUCAACCUGUGGACUGCAUUUGAAACUGUAAUUCUUGAGUACGGGGGAGGCAGGCGGAAGUCCUAGUGUAGCGGUGAAAUGCGUAGAUAUUAGGAGGAACACCGGUGGCGAAGGCGGUCUGCUGGACAGCAACUGACGCUGAGGCGCGAAAGCGUGGGGAGCAAACAGGAUUAGAUACCCCAGUAGUC
rnacentral:rRNA from 1 species